GACGAACGCUGGCGGCGUGCUUAACACAUGCAAGUCGAACGGAAAGGCCCUGCUUUUGUGGGCUGCUCGAGUGGCGAACGGGUGAGUAACACGUGUGUAACCUGCCCUUCACUUUGGGAUAACUUCAGGAAACUGAGGCUAAUACCGGAUAGGAGCUCCUGCUGCAUGGUGGGCGUUGGAAAGUUUCGGCGGUUGGGGAUGGACUCGCGGCUUAUCAGCUUGUUGGUGGGGUAGUGGCUUACCAAGGCUUUGACGGGUAGCCGGCCUGAGAGGGGGACCGGCCACAUGAGGACUGAGAUACGGCCCAGACUCCAACGGGAGGCAGAAGUGGGGAAUAUUGCACAAUGGGCGGAAGCCUGAUGCAGCAACGCCGCGUGCGGGAUGACGGCCUGCUGGUAGUAAACCGCAGUCGCCUGUGACGAAGCGUGAGUGACGGUAAUGGGUAAAGAAGCACCGGCUAACUACGUG
rnacentral:rRNA from 1 species